ACGCCGGAUUUAGAAAAAGAAUUUAUUUUAAUUCCAACAAAAAUAAUUUACAAAAGCUUUGGUAAAUUUAGUUAUUUAAAUUUAUACGCAUUGCAUAUUUAUUUAAUUUAGCAUUUAAGCAUUUUCACGAGCUUUUGAUUAGCAAGAUUUGAAAGGAAUUCCUUUUAUAAAUGCACCAAGGAUUUAAUUACAUUCCCAUUACAAUUUUACUACAUCUAUUAUUCCUACAUUAUACAAUAAAGAAAGUUACAUUGGUACUCAUUUAUACAUAGACAUAUACACACAUUUAUAAGAUACAAGUACACCAAAUACCAACACCUCCCCAUCACCUACGACACCCUCCCUGCAGCUUUAUUUCAUUCACACAAUUAAAGUCUAUGCCUACACUCCAUUUUCCUUCAUUCACACAAUUAAAGUCUAUUCCUACACUCUAUUUUCCUUCAUUCACACAAUUAAAGUCUAUUCCUACACUCUAUUUUCCUUCAUUCACACAUCUACUCUUGAAAGAGCAACAACAUAGUCGUGCAGUCACCCCACCCUGUGCAUCCCUUUAUCUCAUCAGCCAAAGUCCUCCUUCAUCCCACACAACACUCUCUCGCCAAGAAAAAAAAAAACUCAGAUUCCAUAUCUUAGAUUUAAGAACCAAGCUUUUACCGAAUAUUACAUCAAAAUCAACCAAGUUCAGACAAGCUCGACCGAAAGUUUUAAGGUUUCAUUUUCUUUAAACUUCACUAGUUUUUACAGUAUUCUCCAUUACUUUCAGAACACACAAAUUUCAGAACACACAAACUUCGGCUGCCCAAUCAAGAAUCACACCCAUACACACAUU
rnacentral:lncRNA from 1 species